rnacentral:rRNA from 1 species
UAUUAUUAGUGAUUUAAAUCAUUAUAACUUGAGUAGUAAUAGUUAUGUUCUUGAAACUUAAAGAAUUUGGCGGUAUUUUAGUCUUUUUAGAGGAAUCUGUCCCUUAAUUCGAUAAUCCACGUUGUAUCUUACUUAAGGUUUUAAUUUGUAUACCGCUGUUGUUGAAAAUUUUUUUAGAAUUAAUUUCUUAAGUAUUCUUGGAUAUUUUGUCAGGUCAAGGUGCAGUUUAUACUUAAGGGGUGAUGGAUUACAUUAUUUUAAAAUAUACGGAUUAUUAAUUUGGAUAAUUGAUUAUAAAGGUGGAUUUAAAAGUAAUUUUAUUAAGAAUGUUAGUAUGAUUUUAGCUCUAGAAUAUGUACACAUCGCCCGUCAUUCUCAUUAUUUAUUAAGGUGAG